AUCAGAAAAAGGAAAAGAUUAACAGCGUGCGGAAGAAUUUCUAUUUCUAAACCUAAACCCUAAAACUUAUUGGCUAGUGUAAAACUUAUUAACUAGUUAAAACUUAAUAUCUAGUGUAAAACUUAACCUAUCUUAGAACUACUGCGAAACACUGCUAUUCGCGUACGAUAGAAUUAGUUUGCACUAAAAGCGGGAGAUAGCGUAUGCAAUUGAACGGAUACCGAUUUAUCUAAAAGCUGAAUCGAAAUCACAAAUUGUGAUUUGUUGUUUGCGAUCUGCUAAACAGAUUUCGGAUCUUCACGCGCCCCGUCUUCUUGUUCUCCGGAACACAACUCAACAUUGACC